UCCCUCUUAGCUCAGUUGGUAGAGCGCGUCACUAGUAAUGGUAUGACGAGGUCAGUCGUUCAAGUCGGCUAGAGGGAA
rnacentral:tRNA from 1 species